GAAAUCAAACCCAACUUCAAGAAGGGCAAAAGAAGGAUGUGGGGAGCUGUAGGGAUCAGACUAGCUGUGGUCUUUGGGAUGAUUAUGGUGCAGAUCCCCCUGUGAGCCAUGUUCAGGCACAUGAAGGACAAGAAAGUGAUGGGAGUUUAUCAAGGGCAAAUUAAUUGUCCUUAUAGUGAACACUGAUUCUCAGCAAGGAGUUCUGCAGUGGCUAAGUGGACAGGGAGGGAACAGUGAAUGUUGUUUAUUUUGACAUUAGGAAAGCAUCUGAUACAAUCUUUUACAAGCUUUUUGUAACCAACCUGUUGAUAGAUGACUUGAGUAGGUGGACUGCAAGGUGGGUAGAAAAUUGUCAGGGCUGCUGUGCUCAGAGGGCUAAGAUGAGGUCCAGCUGGUGGCCAGUAGUGUUCCUCACCCGCUGAAACUGAGGCCAGUCCUGACUGAUGUUCUCAUUAAUAACUGGAGAACAGGAAGCAGUGUGUCUUCAGCAAGUUUGGGAAUGCUGCCAAAUUACCCAGAGCAGUUAAUGAACUGAAGCACAGGGCGUGUUUUCAGAGAGACCUGGACAGUGUGAGGAAGUGGGCUGACGUGAUAGUGGAGCAGGAUGGAAGAUGGUAGAGGAAAGCCCGCAUGCUUUCCCAGGGGGAAGAAGGAGGAAUUUCAAGUUUCUACAUCGAUACUAGGAUGUAACAGUAGUCUAGGGGAUUUUCCGUGAAUUUAAAACAAAUGUGAUGUUGUGUGAUAUGAUUUGAAGUCAGGGAAGGGAGAGAAGAUGUUACCGUUUUCCAGAAACGAGCUAGAAAUGCAGAAUACUAUGGUAUGUGCUAUAUCUGCAAAGACAGGCUGCCCAUAUUCUGUGCUGGCAAUGAGUUUGCCAGUAGGCUAGCGUGAUUCCCUCAUACCGAGAGGCUCUGUAUGUUUGCUGGCCAAAGGUCGAGUCCUUUGUGAAAAGAUUUCCACCAGCACCCUGCUUCCACAUCUACACUGAGUUCUUCUUUUGUAGUGAUGUUAUUUUAUUAUUUUCUUUUAACAAACACCAACACAUUUAAUGACUAUCACUUGUGCAAUUUUGUAUAGCUUACAGUUAGAUUCUUCUUAACUUUCUGAAGUAAUAAUUGUAUUCAGUGUUAAGAAUAAAUCAACAUUAAAAUACAUUCAUUGACCUGCCUUGGAUUUGUGGAAUGAUAGAAUAUUUGGGGUUGGAUGAGACCUCUGGAGGUAGUCUGGUCUAACCCUGCUCACAGCAGAGGCAGCUUCACAGUUGGAAAGGAUUGCUCAGGAUUGUAGCUCAUCUGGUUUCCACAUCUGGCAAGAGAGAGUUUGUUUAAAUCUCGGUGGUGUGACACAUUUAAGUAAACUGGCCGGUUAUAAUAGGGUAAUGCUUCCUAAAAUAAGGACUUGUAGUGCUUAGAGUAAUAUCAUCCCUUAGGAAAUAAAGGUGAUCGAGUAGUAUAUGCACUGAUUUCUUUUAAAAUAUUUAAUCUAUUACAUUAAGAAUGAGAUUAAAACAAAGUUACUAAGUCAAGUAUUCUAAUGUAAAGAACUACCAGCCUGAAGUUCCUGUGGAUGCAGAGGUGGUAUUGAUUUAGCUUGGUUUUCCAACAAUUGUUUCCGGCUGAAUCUGUCCGUAUUCUGUGUGCAAAAUGGGCAGCGCUCAGGGAGUAAUGCAGCUGGCCACAUUUAUCUCCCCUUUAUCUAGAGGAACUUGUGUGUCUAAUGCUUGGUAAAUCAAUGCUUGUCAUUUUUCUUUCUCUUACAGUCUUUUAUAGGAUGCUUAUUGCUAGCAUUAUAGGUGCCUUUUGUCUAUAGAGUAGAGUCAAUCAUUUUGUUAUUCUUAAAAAAAAUAAUUUGAGGAAAUUUGUCUUCUAUUAGUACACACCUGCGACUCUGCCUGUGUUACUGUUCAAAUCCAAAGAAGUUCUGACUCUUGCCAACACCGCGCUCAGUCUUUCUAAGCAUGUUUGUUACUGCUAAGCAUACCGCAUACUUCAUGCAUUUCACAGUACUGGUCUGAAGUCAAAUCUCAUGUAAGUAGUUCGUAUUUAGGAUCCUAUACAUAGAAACAUGAGAAUCACUACUUUAUGAAGCUUUAGGUCUGCUGUUUUUAUAGUAUUAGAAGACCAAUCUUUACAAAAAUGUAAAAUGUCAGCCUUAAUUCUUAAAUGCAUUAGACAAUUAGUAAGCUGUGUCUGUGUCACAAAUAUAACUUGCGGUUGCCAGUGAUUUGAUGGACAAGCACUGUGUGGUGAUACUGGCAACUGUCGCUUUCACAUACUUCUGUAUUUUUAUAGCUGGCUUCUAACUGGCAAGCACAGAUGGCCAUAGAUUGUGAUUUUUUUGUAUGUUUCUGAAUUUGAGAAAACAUUUGUACAGUUCUUUUUAAAUUGCAUUAUGUAAAUAUCGUAUGUUAACUACUGUCUAUAUUUCUUUUAUUUUAAUCCCUAAGCUUAUAGCAUGGGAUUUUGGAACCAACCAUUUAAAUAUUUUGUUAAUAAUAUAAAGGGCUUCUGUGUUCAGCUUUUGCAUAAUUUGAAUGUUUACUUUCAAGUAGUUUCUUUAAGUCAACAGUGUUAUUUUGUCAUAUUAGUAACUUUUUAAAGUUGCUCCUGGAAAAAAUCAUCAGGUUGGCCACUAUCAAGCCUUUCUCUUGCUGUUAAUGAUGGAUGUUCUUCCACUAAGUUAGAAAUUAAUGUUUCAGUGGUACUUUUUGAAAUGGUACAUUCUUUGUGGUACAUUCCUUUUACCUGGAGGAAACACCUCUUUCCAUCUGUUGUCACAGAAACGUAGAUUUCUGUUUAGCCUUACUUAGGGCACAGGCAGUAGACUCAGUUUUUUACUGCGUAGCGGUCUAAGAAUGUUUUCCUAAGCCUAUUUUUGUGGAAGGGCAGCAUGCGAAGAAAAUUACAGAGAAAGGCAGAGAUUUUGUAAGUUUUUGGCUACUACUAGCCAAAAAGAUACUAUGAGCAUGUAGUAUUUAGUAACGUGGUUGUCCUGGAUACUUUUUGUACUAUUCCUAUUCUGCGAGACUUUUCUCUUGACCUGAAUGAACAGGCGUAAAUGCCUAACCUGUUAGAGCAUAGCAAUUGUUUUCUGAAAAUAAAUUGUUAUCCUGAAGGAAUUCUAAGGGAUUAAUCAAAUGAGUCUCCAGCAGCUGAUUUAACUAUAUAUAGUUAAAUAGCUGAUGUAAGUGUAUGCUUGUUAACGAACAGGUGCUAAACCAGUUGUUUUAAGAAGUAACUACAUAAGCAGUGCUCAGAUUGUUGAUAAUUAUUUUUUUAGUGUUAGAGGCAACAUGCUGAUGUCUGACUGUGCUGCUUUCCAAAAAUUCAAGUUCUGAAUGAAUUAAUUAUUUGAUGCCUGUAUUUGUUUGUUCUGUUGCUACUGCGCAGUAACACCAGUUCUCUUUGGAAGCGCAGUUGAAACUUACCUGUGAAUGUCCAUUGCUUUGUUCUUUAUUUCCCUUUCCUGUGCCAUAUGGUAUUCACUUGUACACCCUGAUUAAAUAAUUUAUUGUGAACACAAAGUACUGCUCUGUAGUUGAGAGCGAGUUGAAUUAAUCCUGGUUAUCAUUCAGUUGAUUGCACUGGCCUUAUAGAAAUUAACCGCAGUAAGCAUAAAGCCUAACACUGUAAUUUUGUUGAAUCAAACACAGUAGAAAAGAAAACAAAAAACAGUCAUAAAAUUGGAAGCUAGCACAUAAUUUUAAUACUUUUGUAUCACGUAGACUUUCUCAUUUGAGUGCAUAAUUUUAGUAGUUUUGUAGCACAUAGACUUUCUCAUUUGCCUUCUGUUCAGGAGGUUGUCACGUACGCUUUUAAAGCAGCAACUGUUUUAGCUAAUUGACCCUCAUCUAGAUUUACAUCUCAUUUAGGGCCCUGUGCUGUCCUCGAAUGGCUGCCGCAGCUGAAGUUACCUGGAGCCGUAUGCAGAUACCAGCACGCCCCGGGGAGCUGGGGCAGUCGGGCUUUGGCUUGCUAGCAGCUAGCACAUCCUACUUAUUACACUGCUGAAGCACACUAGGGCUGUGAGAUACCAACUUCAUACAGUCCAAAGAACAGUGGAGUAGCUCUGCGGAAAGCAACUCAUGCUUUUAGAGUAUCCAAAUCUUCGUUUUAAAAUUCAUUUUCAAGGGUUGGUAUCCAAUCCUCUCUGAUGGGUCCAGAUUUUCAAAACACUGCCAUGAGGUGUGAAUGCAUGCUGAAGGCACGGUAUGGCAAGACAGUGAAGUUUUCAAGUUUGUCUUCAAAAAGUUCGUGAGAAAAUUAUAUGACUCAUGUUGGAGACAAGCAGUGUAACAAAGUGAGCAAUAAAAGCUUUUUUCUUGUUCUUUUGUAAGAAUAAAAUGUAACUGAAAUA